UGGGGAAUAUUGGACAAUGGGCGAAAGCCUGAUCCAGCCAUGCCGCGUGAGUGACGAAGGCCUUAGGGUUGUAAAACUCUUUCGUCGGGGACGAUAAUGACGGUACCCGAAGAAGAAGCUCCGGCUAACUUCGUGCCAGCAGCCGCGGUAAUACGAAGGGAGCUAGCGUUGUUCGGAAUCACUGGGCGUAAAGCGCACGUAGGCGGAUAGUUAAGUCAGGGGUGAAAUCCUGGGGCUCAACCCCAGAACUGCCUUUGAUACUGGCUGUCUCGAGGUCGAGAGAGGUUGGUGGAAUUCCUAGUGUAGAGGUGAAAUUCGUAGAUAUUAGGAAGAACACCAGUGGCGAAGGCAGCCAACUGGCUCGAUACUGACGCUGAGGUGCGAAAGCGUGGGGAGCAAACAGGAUUAGAUACCCACGUAGUCCCUGAGCGGGCUGGCAAGGCGCAU
rnacentral:rRNA from 1 species